rnacentral:rRNA from 1 species
AGUGGACGCUGGCGAUAGGCCUAACACAUGCAAGUCGAACGGCAGCACAGUAAGAGCUUGCUCUUACGGGUGGCGAGUGGCGGACGGGUGAGGAAUACAUCGGAAUCUACUUUUUCGUGGGGGAUAACGUAGGGAAACUUACGCUAAUACCGCAUACGACCUACGGGUGAAAGCAGGGGAUCUUCGGACCUUGCGCGAUUGAAUGAGCCGAUGUCGGAUUAGCUAGUUGGCGGGGUAAAGGCCCACCAAGGCGACGAUUCGUAGCUGGUCUGAGAGGAUGAUCAGCCACACUGGAACUGAGACACGGUCCAGACUCCUACGGGAGGCAGCAGUGGGGAAUAUUGGACAAAGGGCGCAAGCCUGAUCCAGCCAUACCGCGUGGGUGAAGAAGGCCUUCGGGUUGUAAAGCCCUUUUGUUGGGAAAGAAAAGCAGCAGGUUAAUACCCCGCUGUUCUGACGGUACCCAAAGAAUAAGCACCGGCUAACUUCGUG